GGGGGCGGGCACCAGGGCAUUUUUGUGAAGCAGGUGCUGAAGGACUCGUCAGCGGCCAAGCUCUUCAGCCUGAGAGAAGGGGACCAGCUGCUCAGUGCCACCGUGUUCUUCGACAACAUUAAGUAUGAAGACGCUCUCAAAAUCCUGCAGUACUCGGAGCCCUACAGGGUUCAGUUCCAAGUCAGACGGAAACGUCCCACCCCAGACGACGAGGACGCGGCCGCCAGGGGGGCUCAGCCUGGCACGAAGGACAGGGAGAAGCAGGACAAAGAUGUGGCCGACAGUUCCACAGAGACCCCCCCACAGACCCUGGAAGGAAGCGGA